GUACAGGAUGGACCCGCGUCUGAUUAGCUAGUUGGUAAGGUAACGGCUUACCAAGGCGACGCUCAGUAGCCGACCUGAGAGGGUGAUCGGCCACAUUGGAACUGAGACCCGGUCCAAACUCCUACGGGAGGCAGCAGUGGGGAAUAUUGCACACUGGGCGAAAGCCUGAUGCAGCAACGCCGCGUGAGGGAUGAAGGCCUUCGGGUCGUAAUGCUCUGUCCUCACGGAAGAUAAUUAAGGUUCUUGAGGAGGAAGCCCCGGCGAACACCGUGCCAGCAGCCGCGCUAAUCCGUAGGGGACUAGCGUUAUCCGGAUUUACCGAGCGUAACGGGUGCACUGGUGAUCCGUCAGGUCAGGCGUGUACGGCUCCGGCUGACCCGGCGUAGGCUCUUGACUCUGGGGGCAUUGAGGGCAGGAGGGGC
rnacentral:rRNA from 1 species